AGUUAGAAGAAGUGUAUCACUAUCAGAGUGAGCUUUGAGACCCUCAUCCUCACCACUUGGAAGCCAAUCUUCUCCUAGUACCCUUCAGAUGAAAAUGAAGAACUUUCUGCUCCCCUCCUGCACCAUGCCAUUCUCCCUCUUUGAUGCACAUGGACAGAACCUCUGAACCUGUACCCAGCUAAUGAAUCUAAACAGCAUAAAGAUAAAAAACACCUGUUUUCUACUCAAACCAAUAAGCUUGAAAUUGCUAAAGAUAAAAUGCCCAGGGGUGUGAAAAAGCUGAAAUGCCAAGCAAACUGGAAGCACUCUAGAGCUCCAUCAGGAGGACUGAGAUGCAGAGUCAAGAAGUCAACUGUUGCUCUACACAAUUUCACCAUCCUAAGUGUGUUUUAGAGAAAGCAGCUAUGGACACUGAGUGCUGUGGGCAGUGAUUUAUUCUGGAAGUUGACCUUCAAUCUAGACGUCAUCCAAAUGACUGGCUCUGGAGGAGAGCAAGACUCUGUAUCCUUGAUGAUUUGCAACCCUGCUACAGAGAGGUGACAAAGCACAACCUCCAUAAAUCUCAAAGAUAAGACUGACUACUUGACCAGAGGGGCCUGACUAACCUUUGAAAUGAUGGACUGCCUUCCUAUCUUCUCCCUAUAUACCCUUCUGAGUAAAGAUGAGAUGGAAGACGGAUCUUUAGAAAGAUGGCCCACUUGUUCUCAGAUGGCUGGCUCUCAAAAUAAAAC
rnacentral:lncRNA from 1 species